rnacentral:tRNA from 1 species
UCUCAGAUGUACUAGCAAGUGCAUCAAAGAUGCAGUCAUCGAUUCGCCCGAGAGGCCACAAUUACCGCGAGC